rnacentral:rRNA from 1 species
AGAGUUUGAUCCUGGCUCAGGAUGAACGCUAGCGGCAGGCCUAAUACAUGCAAGUCGAACGGUGUAGCAAUACACAGUGGCGCACGGGUGCGUAACACGUAUGCAACCUACCUAUUAUUGGGGGAUAGCCUUUGGAAACGGAGAUUAAUACCGCAUAAGACAGUGACAUGGCAUCAUGUAGCUGUUAAAGCUUCGGCGAUAAUAGAUGGGCAUGCGUCCAAUUAGUUAGUUGGUGAGGUAACGGCUCACCAAGACGAUGAUUGGUAGGGGAUCUGAGAGGAUAAUCCCCCACACUGGCACUGAGAUACGGGCCAGACUCCUACGGGAGGCAGCAGUAGGGAAUAUUGGGCAAUGGACGGAAGUCUGACCCAGCCAUGCCGCGUGCAGGAUGAAGGCGUUAUGCGUUGUAAACUGCUUUUUUAUAGGAAGAAGACUCCCUUGCGAGGGAAAGUGACGGUACUAUAAGAAUAAGCACCGGCUAACUCCGUGCCAGCAGCCGCGGUAAUAUGGAGGGUGCGAGCGUUGUCCGGAUUUAUUGGGUUUAAAGGGUGCGUAGGCGGUUUAUUAAGUCAGUGGUGAAAGACGGUCGCUCAACGAUUGCAGUGCCAUUGAUACUGGUAGACUUGAGUUCGUAUGAGGUAGCUGGAAUGGAUAGUGUAGCGGUGAAAUGCGUAGA